UUAAGCAUAUCAAUAAGCGGAGGAAAAGAAACCAACAGGGAUUACCUCAGUAACGGCGAGUGAAGCGGUAAGAGCUCAAAUUUGAAAGCUGGCUCCUUCGGGGUCCGCAUUGUAAUUUGCAGAGGAUGCUUCGGGAGCGGUCCCCAUCUAAGUGCCCUGGAACGGGACGUCAUAGAGGGUGAGAAUCCCGUAUGGGAUGGGGUGUCCGCGCCCGUGUGAAGCUCCUUCGACGAGUCGAGUUGUUUGGGAAUGCAGCUCUAAAUGGGUGGUAAAUUUCAUCUAAAGCUAAAUAUUGGCCGGAGACCGAUAGCGCACAAGUAGAGUGAUCGAAAGAUGAAAAGCACUUUGAAAAGAGAGUUAAAAAGCACGUGAAAUUGUUGAAAGGGAAGCGCUUGCGACCAGACUCGCUCGCGGGGUUCAGCCGGCAUUCGUGCCGGUGUACUUCCCCGCGAGCGGGCCAACGUCGGUUUGGGCGGUCAGUCAAAGGCCCCUGGAAGGUAACGCCCCCUCGGGGGCGUCUUAUAGCCAGGGGUGCAAUGUGGCCUGCCUGGACCGAGGAACGCGCUUCGGCUCGGACGUUGGCAUAAUGGUCGUAAGCGACC
rnacentral:rRNA from 1 species